rnacentral:other from 1 species
CGCUCCCUGGGGUGUGCGCCAGUCGCUGAAGACCUCGAGCCUAUGCACUUAACCCAGGAUGUUUCUCGAAUAGAGGGAGUGCAUGUCCGCCCCGUGCGGAAAGCCCGAUUCUAUACAGGAAUGUCCACCUUGAACCUCAUGGUUCAAGGGCUUUCUUCGACAGCGGCACAGUGGGGAGCCC